rnacentral:rRNA from 1 species
AUAUUGACUGUGCAAAGGUAGCAUAAUCAUUAGUCUUUUAAUUGGGGACUGGUAUGAAUGGUUUAACGAAGUAUUAACUGUCUCAUUUUAAUAAAUUGAAGUUAACUUUUGAGUCAAAAGGCUUAAAUAAAGUUAGAGGACGAGAAGACCCUAUAGAGCUUUAUAAAUUUAAUAUAAAAUAUAAUUUGGAGGUUUUAUUAAUUUGAAUAUAAAAUUUAUUUUAUUGGGGUGAUAUGAAGAUUUAAUAAACUCUUCUUGAAAUCAAACAUUGAUUAAUGAAUAAUUGAUCCAUUUUUAGUGAUUAUAAGAUUAAGUUACCUUAGGGAUAACAGCGUAAUGUUUUUUGAGAGUUCUUAUCAACAAAAAAGAUUGCGACCUCGAUGUUGGAUUAAGGAAAAGGUUGGG